ACCGGCCAGUUCGACCACAUCCUCGGUUCACCCUUCCGACCGUCGAACCAACAACAACAACAACAACCUUUCUUCAUGUCCUCCGAACCCAACCAAACCUACCACCACCCCGACCAAAACAAACCCUUCCAACAAGGGUUAAUGCAGUUGUCUGAUCACCUUAACAACAACAGCCACCACAAUAAUUCACCCUUCAGCCUUCCCUUUCUCUCCAACAACACAAGCAACGCUUCGUUCUCUGAACACUUCAACAAUGCCAAUGGAGGAGGAGGCAACAACAACAACAACAACAACAACGAGGGCACUAACUACUUCGCAACUUCAAGUGCACCUUCUCUCUUCAGCAACAGUGUCAAUGCCAGUGCCUUAUCUCACAUGUCCGCAACU
rnacentral:lncRNA from 1 species